ACGAAGGGUGCAAGCGUUACUCGGAAUUACUGGGCGUAAAGCGCGCGCAGGCGGUCCUUUAAGUCUGAUGUGAAAGCCCACGGCUCAACCGUGGAGGGUCAUUGGAAACUGGGGGACUUGAGUGCAGAAGAGGAAAGUGGAAUUCCACGUGUAGCGGUGAAAUGCGUAGAUAUCGAGAGGAACACCAGUGGCGAAGGCGAGUCCCUGGACAACUCCUGACGCUGAGGCACGAAAGCUAGGGGAGCAAACAGGA
rnacentral:rRNA from 1 species